rnacentral:rRNA from 1 species
GCACCGGGGAUUAGUGGCGAACGGGUGAGUAACACGUGAGUAACCUGCCCUUAACUCUGGGAUAAGCCUGGGAAACUGGGUCUAAUACCGGAUAUGACUCCUCAUCGCAUGGUGGGGGGUGGAAAGCUUUAUUGUGGUUUUGGAUGGACUCGCGGCCUAUCAGCUUGUUGGUGAGGUAAUGGCUCACCAAGGCGACGACGGGUAGCCGGCCUGAGAGGGUGACCGGCCACACUGGGACUGAGACACGGCCCAGACUCCUACGGGAGGCAGCAGUGGGGAAUAUUGCACAAUGGGCGAAAGCCUGAUGCAGCGACGCCGCGUGAGGGAUGACGGCCUUCGGGUUGUAAACCUCUUUCAGUAGGGAAGAAGCGAAAGUGACGGUACCUGCAGAAGAAGCGCCGGCUAACUACGUGCCAGCAGCCGCGGUAAUACGUAGGGCGCAAGCGUUAUCCGGAAUUAUUGGGCGUAAAGAGCUCGUAGGCGGUUUGUCGCGUCUGCCGUGAAAGUCCGGGGCUCAACUCCGGAUCUGCGGUGGGUACGGGCAGACUAGAGUGAUGUAGGGGAGACUGGAAUUCCUGGUGUAGCGGUGAAAUGCGCAGAUAUCAGGAGGAACACCGAUGGCGAAGGCAGGUCUCUGGGCAUUAACUGACGCUGAGGAGCGAAAGCAUGGGGAGCGAACAGGAUUAGAUACCCUGGUAGUCCAUGCCGUAAACGUUGGGCACUAGGUGUGGGGGACAUUCC